rnacentral:rRNA from 1 species
AGAGUUUGAUCCUGGCUCAGGACGAACGUUGGCGGCGUGCCUAAUACAUGCAAGUCAACUGAAGCACGGUAGCAAUACUGUGUGGAGGUGGCGCACGGGUGAGUAACACGUAGGUAAUCUGCCUUCAGGUCUGACAUAACUCCGGGAAACCGGAGCUAAUAGCAGAUGAUGCAGCGGCUUGACAUCAAGACAGUUGUUAAAGCUUCGGCGCCUGAAGAUGAGCCUGCGUCUGAUUAGCUAGUUGGCGGAGUAAUAGCCCACCAAGGCUACGAUCAGUAACUGGUCUGAGAGGAUGAUCAGUCACACUGGAACUGAGACACGGUCCAGACUCCUACGGGAGGCAGCAGUAAGGAAUAUUGCUCAAUGGGGGAAACCCUGAAGCAGCAACGCCGCGUGAGGGAUGAAGGGCUUUUGCUCGUAAACCUCUGUAGUGAGGGAAAAAAUUUCCACUCUGUGGAAUAUGAUGGUACCUCAAAAGUAAGCCCCGGCUAACUACGUGCCAGCAGCCGCGGUAAUACGUAGGGGGCAAACGUUGUCCGGAUUUACUGGGUGUAAAGGGUGCUCAGGCGGUUUUGUAAGUCAGAAGUGAAAUCCUAGGGCUUAACUCUGGAACUGCUUUUGAUACUGCAAGGCUUGAAUGUGGAAGAGGAGGAUGGAAUUUCUGGUGUAGCAGUGAAAUGCGUAGAUAUCAGAAAGAACACCAGUGGCGAAGGCGGUCCUCUGGUCCACUAUUGACGCUAAAGCACGAAAGCGUGGGGAGCAAACAGGAUUAGAUACCCUGGUAGUCCACGCCUUAAACGAUGAAUACUAGACGUUGGGGUUAAACUCAGUGUCGCAGCUAACGCAUUAAGUAUUCCACCUGGGGAGUACGAUCGCAAGGUUGAAACUCAAAGGAAUUGACGGGGGCCCGCACAAGCAGUGGAGCA